GAGUUCGAUCCUGGCUCAGGAUGAGCGCUGGCGGCGUGCUUAACACAUGCAAGUCGAACGAAGCGCUUGAGAAUGAUUCUUCGGAUGAAGUCUUUUGUGACUGAGUGGCGGACGGGUGAGUAACGCGUGGGUAACCUGCCUCACACAGGGGGAUAACAGUUGGAAACGACCGCUAAUACCGCAUAACCCGCUGGUGCCGCAUGGCACUGACGGAAAAGAUUUAUCGGUGUGAGAUGGACCCGCGUCUGAUUAGCCAGUUGGCAGGGUAACGGCCUACCAAAGCGACGAUCAGUAGCCGGCCUGAGAGGGUGAACGGCCACAUUGGGACUGAGACACGGCCCAGACUCCUGCGGGAGGCAGCAGUGGGGAAUAUUGCACAAUGGGGGAACCCCUGAUGCAGCGACGCCGCGUGAGUGAAGAAGUAUUUCGGUAUGUAAAGCUCUAUCAGCAGGGAAGAAAAUGGCGGUACCUGAUUGAGAAGCCCCGGCUAACUACGUGCCAGCAGCCGCGGUAAUACGUAGGGGGCAAGCGUUAUCCGGAUUUACUGGGUGUAAAGGGAGCGUAGACGGUGAUGCAAGUCAGAAGUGAAAGCCCGGGGCUCAACUCCGGGACUGCUUUUGAAACUGUGUAACU
rnacentral:rRNA from 1 species